ensembl:snoRNA
UUUCAGUGAUGAAAACUUGUCCAGUUCUGCUACUGAACAUUUGUGAUGGAUAAUUCAGUUCCAACGCUGAGAA